rnacentral:piRNA from 1 species
UGGAAAGCGUCCGGCAGUCCUCCUGAG